ACCCGGUUCUAAGUGAGUACCUCACCCAUUAUGGCGAAAGCUCAGGUCAAAUUCUUUAACUCAAAUGGGAGCCGGAGCCUUGUUGUACAUUACUGUAAGAUUAAAAUCACGGAAUAUAGGUUUUUUAUCAGAUUAUUUCCAACAUUUGUUCUACACUUGCAUGUAUGAUUGCUGCACAAUUGUGACUUGUGAAAGGAGAAAAAAGAAUGUGUGAAUGUUUUUUUGCUGCAGGUAUUUUGAAGAUAGCGUUUUGAUUAAUUCAGUUUUGUUUUUCAUUGCGGCUUGUUCCUUUACAACUAUUGUAGAAUAAGCUUAUUUUACAUCUACAUGUGGGACCCAUAUGCACUCCCUCUUUUUUUUUCAUCUGUUGUUAGUUGGAGGGAGUAGGAAAGAAGAAUCAGAAUUUCUUCAUUUUUUUGGAUGCUUCUAUUGAUCAGUCGGAGGUCUUCAACAGGGUUGUUUCUUCUGUUUGCAUUUUGCUAACCAAAGAUGACCUUGUAAUCACCAUGCAUGGAUGCACUGCUGCUAUAUGUGAUAAAGUGAAGCAGUUAGCAGAAGGUGCAAUUCAGGCUGUCAUUGAGUUCAUUACAAGAAGAUGCAAUGAGUUGAAUGAAACUGAUGUUUCAAGGUAGGACUUGAGGGGAGUGCUAAUGGACAAUGGUGGUUGGAUGCUAUCAGGAAGGCUCUUGAAUAAGGAACGACAUUUGAACGUGUAGGAUCUAGGUAGUUGGCUGGUUUGCUUAUAUCCACAGGCCUCAGAGCUGGUUCCUAUGGGUUUUACCAGUGCUAGCCAACUCCAUGCAUAGAGGCUUGAAACCAUUCAGAUAACUUUAGGGUCAAGAGAACUUGACAAGAUCUUAGAGGGUUUGCCAACCUUGCAAAUUGAAAAGCUUGUGCAAAUUUGCGAACCAGAGAGUAAAUAAAAGGUGGAACUUGGAUUUAAAAGAUGCAUUGAGGGUCCUUACUGUAUAUGGCUUGGACUCAUUGCCCCAGCAGCUGAUAGUAUCUGAUGCAUAAAGGUUUACAUCAGUAAA